rnacentral:sRNA from 2 species
GCGCGGCCUCCGCCGAGUCCGGGGCGCCGCCGCGCGACCGGAGCCGGGGACCCACCGAAUCCCGGGGUGAAUCGGUCCGCAGCCCCUCGGGGGCCGCAUCCGUAGGGCAACCCUUCCGAAGCACCCGCCCGAACCCGACAGCUAACUCGGUAGGCGGAGACGGGAAGGAGU